UACGGGGGGGGCAAGCGUUGUUCGGAAUUACCGGGCGUAAAGGGCUCGUAGGCGGCCAACUAAGUCCGACGUGAAAUCCCCAGGCUUAACCUGGGAACUGCGUCGGAUACUGGAUGGCUUGAAUUCGGGAGAGGGAUGCAGAAUUCCAGGUGUAGCGGUGAAAUGCGUAGAUAUCUGGAGGAACACCGGUGGCGAAGGCGGCAUUCUGGACCGAUAUUGACGCUGAGGAGCGAAAGCCAGGGGAGCAAACGGG
rnacentral:rRNA from 1 species